CUCAGUGAUAGUCUUCAUUUUUUAUCUGUUCACUGGAGGCAGGCUGCUCUUCAAAGUUUUUUCUGCAGGACCACUGCAUGUGGCUGUGUACCAUGCGAGAACAGCGGUUCCACUGGCCUAUAGGCUGACAGGACCAUGGUUCUAAGAGGAAUCCAGCAAGGAGUGGGCAAUAGGUCUAAGUACUGCCAGAUGGGAAUGUAUGCAUUGGCCUCCACCACAUCAUCAGCAUCUCUGCUUAAAUUCUGGU
rnacentral:lncRNA from 13 species